AAGACGAUCUUCAGGCAAUUAAUUCAGUUAGUGUUUGAUUCAGCGACCGUUGAUAUUGACGAAUCAAACACUAACUGAAUUAAUUGCCUGAAGAUCGUCUUGA